GGAAGAUUUUUAAAAAUGAGCCGAGUGGUCUGAUUUUUCCGGAGACCUUGGGGAGGAGAGACUUUAGUUAAGCGUCACAGGUAUAGCUGGUAUAUUUCCUGGCCAUCUCCUUACCAUGUUGCCCACAAAUCAGCCAUAAUCUUCAUCUUGCUCCCAUCACUGGAGACUCAGACACUUCACCUGGAUUAAGGAGCUUUGAUAGUUCUGGAUAUAGCAAUGCUACUUUCCUCUCCCAAUCCUACAGAAUUCUUCAUUCUAAGAAAAACAGUUAAGUAAAACCAAAAUCAACAGACACAGUGACUGCAUCGGAUGGUGUGGGCAUACUCAUAGUCCCCCAAAUCUCAGAGGAGGAGCCAAGUUGCAGUGAGAACUUUCCUUCUGGAUCUUUGGGAAUUGUGGCUGGUGAAGAAGUAGCAGCUACAGCAGAAGAGGUACAGCAACUAGGCUGGUAUCUGUCUUCAUGGGGGUUUACUCCCCUGUGAGAUGGGGGGGAAGGCCUGCCUGGAGACAUGGCCAGCGGCCUGGAGGUCCCUGCUACAGAGUUUCUUACUGAUGUCUGAGGAGAGACAGUAGUGGCGUCACCAGCUUUGUCUAUGCCCUCAUAUUCAUCUCUCCUUUGGGUGCCUCACAGCUUCCUCUCAGUGCAGGAAUUAGGCAACAGGAUAUUGGUGUCAUUGUGUAUGUUUUUUUCUUGUUCCACUUAUUUCAGAUUGCAUAAUGGAAUACAAGUCUUCCCAUGUUUCUCUAAGUUCUUCAUAUUUUAAAAAUAACAAUAAUAUUUCAUAUUAUAAUCAUGUCAUAGAUUGUUCAGUUAUUCACCAAUUGACGGGUGCCUACCUUUGGUUCUAGUUUUUUUAACACCGUAAAAAGUGAAACUAAUAUUUUAUAUUGGAUGUAGACUUGGCAUUAUCUGUAGAACCUCUUCUCUGAGGCUUUGUCCUAAACUUCCUUCUACAUCACUGCCAUUGUGGCUCUAUGGCUUCUGGACCAAGUUCCUACAGCUCUUGGCUUGACCUAGGAGGAACACCUUGCCACUCUCACUGCCAUUUUGAAAUCAUAUGGCUCCUUGCUCUCCUGAGCAGUCAUGUGGUUCUGGGAAAUUGGGGUGGGUGUGGGUGUUACAAUUUGUACUGGUGGAAAGGGUACUGAAUUACUGAAAUACUAUCGAGUACUUCAUUAAGUGCUCUUAAAGCAUUCAAGAUAUGGAUACAACUGUUAGUGCUGAUUUCUCUUUUCCAUCUUAGU